GAGGGGAAACAAUUUCGAAGGUGAUGCAUUAAAUGCGAAGCAAAGUUGAAUAAUGCCCCGAACCAAUACUUUUUUACAUUAAUUGUUUAUUGUUAUGGUGAAAAGGAACUAUAAAACAUAGUUGACUAAUGCUCUGUUCUUUAGAGUUGCAGGCCUUGAAUGGUUGUCUCAUGAUCAAAACAUAUGGUGGCCUGAACCAACAAUGACUUCCUCUAUGUUCCAGCAUUGGACAAUAUAUGGUCAUGUUUAUAAUUUUUACUACUGGUGGGAAGUAUGUUCAUAAUUUUUUGAAGAGCUAGAGGAGUUGGCUUAGUUCAAGGUAUUGGCUGCACCAGCGCUCUUAAGUUCUUUUUUAAACUUGAACACAUAUUCAGAUGAAAUACUUAGAUAUCCAUACAUGUUAAAAGAAUCAUUAUUAUAUAUGUUGAUGCUUAAGGGCUAUACCGCUAGAUUGUUUACUGCAACUUGCAACUGUAUUUAUUUUUGCUAAACCAGCGUGUAGUUCCUACCUGCAUCCUACUAGCUCCAUUGACUCAUCAUUUUCCCACCUAAUUUUUAGGUAUGUUAUAUUUACUCAUUAGCAUUUGAUUACUUAAAUAAUAUACUCCUAAUAACCAUUUUGCUACUGAUAACACAUGUUUUCCCAAUGACAAAUCUUGCAGGGAUCCUGAUUUCAAGCAAGAACAUCCAAUAACUGAAUCUCAGUAGAGCAAGAAAGCAAUUAUUUGUUGCAGGGACCUAAUUUGCAGGACAUCUACGCCUAUAUUGGGAAGGUCACUCCUCUCGGACCACCACAAAUUAGGUUAUGCUAAAUUUCAAAGUAGCUUAAACUAUGUAGUUGAUAGUUAAUACUUCCUAGGCAAAAUGUAAAAUAAUAAAAUUUCCUUGUAUUAACCAUAAAUUUGGCCUGAUGUUUUUAUGUUCUCCGAUAAAUAAUAUGAAUGUAAUAAUGUUACAAGUUCCAGUAUUUAGAUUGCAACUUUAUUAUCACUUACA